UGGGGAAUUUUGGACAAUGGGGGAAACCCUGAUCCAGCCAUCCCGCGUGUGCGAUGAAGGCCUUCGGGUUGUGAAGCACUUUUGGCAGGAAAGAAACGUCAUGGGUUAAUACCCCGUGAAACUGACGGUACCUGCAGAAUAAGCACCGGCUAACUACGUGCCAGCAGCCGCGGUAAUACGUAGGGUGCAAGCGUUAAUCGGAAUUACUGGGCGUAAAGCGUGCGCAGGCGGUUCGGAAAGAAAGAUGUGAAAUCCCAGAGCUCAACUUUGGAACUGCAUUUUUAACUACCGGGCUAGAGUGUGUCAGAGGGAGGUGGAAUUCCGCGUGUAGCAGUGAAAUGCGUAGAUAUGCGGAGGAACACCGAUGGCGAAGGCAGCCUCCUGGGAUAACACUGACGCUCAUGCACGAAAGCGUGGGGAGCAAACAGG
rnacentral:rRNA from 1 species